CCUACGGGCGACAGCAGUGGGGGAUAUUGCACAAUGGGGGGAACCCUGAUGCAGCGAAGUAGCGUGGGUGAAGGAGUGCUUCGGCAUGUAAAGCCCUAUCGGCAGGGAAGCAGAAAGACGGUACUUGACUACGAAGCCCCGGCUACAUAAGUGCAAGCAGCCGCGGUAAUACGGAGGGGGCGAGCGUUAUCCGGAUUCACUGGGUUGAAAGGGAGCGUAGACGGCCAUGAAAGGCAGGGGGGAAAGCCCGGGGCCCAACCCCGGGACUGCCCUUGAAACUGCAUGGCUGGAGUGCGGGAGGGGCAGGCGGAAUUCGUGGUGUAGCGGUGAAAUGCGUAGAUAUCAGGAAGAACACCGACGGCGAAGGCGGGCUGCUGGACCGCGACUGACGUUGAGGCUCGAAAACGUGGGUAGCGAACAGGAUUAGAUACCCGGGUAGUC
rnacentral:rRNA from 1 species